UCGAUUUUCGGUAUGUUUUUCGGCGAAAUUCGACGACGAAAUGCGGUUCGGUUUGGAUUUCUUCCGACAAUGCAUUAAUGUAUUAUACUUUGUCGUUGAGCCUUAUUGCCUGGUUACUUACGUCGUUUCGAGGGUUCGAAGACGACAGGUGAGCGACGGUGGGUUUCGGUGUCGAAAUUGACACUUUCGGGAAUCCGGAUAUGAACGGUUAUCCGACGAUAAUUAUUUCGAUGUGAGCUUGC
rnacentral:lncRNA from 1 species